GCAUAUCAAUAAGCGGAGGAAAAGAAACCAACAGGGAUUGCCCCAGUAACGGCGAGUGAAGCGGCAACAGCUCAAAUUUGAAAUCUGGCCCUCCCCUGGGGGGCCCGAGUUGUACUUUGGAGAGGAUGCUUUGGGCGCGGCGCCUUCCGAGUUCCUUGGAACAGGACGCCAGAGAGGGUGAGAGCCCCGUACGGUCGGACGCCUAGCCCGUGUAAAGCUCCUUCGACGAGUCGAGUAGUUUGGGAAUGCUGCUCAAAAUGGGAGGUAAAUUUCUUCUAAAGCUAAAUACCGGCCAGAGACCGAUAGCGCACAAGUAGAGUGAUCGAAAGAUGAAAAGCACUUUGAAAAGAGGGUUAAACAGCACGUGAAAUUGUUGAAAGGGAAGCGCCUGUGGCCAGACGUGCGCCCCGCGGACCACCCGCCGGUUUCCGGCGGGGCACGCCGCGGGUGCGCAGGCCAGCAUCGGCUUCCCCAGGGGGACAAAGGCCGCGGGAACGUAGCUCCUUCGGGAGUGUUAUAGCCCGCGGCGUCAUGCCCCUGGGGGGGCCGAGGACCGCGCCCUCGUGGCAAGGAUGCUGGCGUAAUGGCCACCAGCGACCCGUCUUGAAACACGGACCAAGGAGUCAAGCAUUGGGGCGAGUGUUUGGGUGACAAACCCGCACGCGAAAUGAAAGUGAACGCAGGUGGGAGCCCUCGGGCGCACCACCGACCGAUCCAGAUGUUCUCGGAUGGAUUUGAGUAGGAGCCUUACCGCUUGGACCCGAAAGAUGGUGAACUAUGCCUGUAUAGGGUGAAGCCAGAGGAAACUCUGGUGGAGGCUCGCAGCGGUUCUGACGUGCAAAUCGAUCGUCAAAUAUGGGCAUGGGGGCGAAAGACUAAUCGAACCAUCUAGUAGCUGGUUACCGCCGA
rnacentral:rRNA from 1 species